ensembl:snRNA U6 U6 spliceosomal RNA
AUGUUCACUUUAGCAGCACAUAUACUAAAACUGGAAUAACACAAUAAAGAUGAGAAUGGCCCCAAUGAAAGGAUGAUGUGCAUAUCCGUGUGACACUCAUAUUUUUG